UGAGCAAGAGGACAAAUACAUUAGUGUCUAGUUUGAGAAACAGAUGCCUCACAAGUCCUCAACUGGCAGCUUCAUUAAAUAGUACCCGCAAAACACCAGUCUCUAUGUCAACAGUGACAAGGCGACUCCGGAAUGCUGGCCUUCUAAGUAGAGUUGCAAAGAAAAAGCCAUAUCUCAGUCUGGCCAAUAAAAAUGAAAUAUUAAGAUGGCAAAAGAACACAGACACUGGACAGAGAAACUGCCUAGAAGGUCAGCAUCCCGGAGUCGCCUCUUCACUGUUGAUGUUGAGACUGAUGUUUUGCUGGUACUAUUUAAAGAAGCUGCCAGUUGAGGACUUGUGAGGCGUCUGUUUCUCAAACUAAACACUAAUGGUUCCAGCUACAAUAGUCAUUUACAACAUUAACAAUGUCUGUACUGUAUUUCUGAGCAAUUUGAUGUAAUUUGAAUGGACAAAAAAAAUGUGAUUUUCCUUUAAAAAAAACAAGUACAUUUCAAAGUGACCCCAAACUUUUGAACGGUAGUGUACAUGGACUUCCCCAGAAUCGUCCUUGACAAACACCUGUAUGUGCUUAUUUCCAGUAUUCUAAGAAAAGACCACUCUGAAGAACUGAGAUUCAAUCUCUGGAUGCAAGUCUAGUUGAGUUGUGUACAAAUGCGACUCAAUUCAGUAAAAAUGGACUUUCUUUCAUUAUCGUAACGAUCACGUUAUGUUCCUGUGCAGAGAUUUCACCAGAUAAUACUGCAGCGCUUUGACAUGAAAUUUGUUUUGCCACUUGUCCUUCAGACAAGUAGGACAGAUUUGUUUUUUUUUUGGUCAGAAAGCUCAAGUCACCAAAGAGUGAUACUUAAAAUUGUCGUAUGAUUCAAGGAACCCCUUUACAAUAUAAAAAUGACCAUUGUUGCUACCGUAUAGAGAAUCAGACAAAUGUAGGCUACCCUCUGCAUUAUGGGCUUCUUUGCAUAUUCAAGCCUGUCUCAAAAUAGAACACUGCCCCUUUUAGAUGCACCUGGAGGGUGAUUGGCAACCCUUUAAAUAGCCCUCAAAAAUAUUGCACAGUUACAAUUCCAACCGAAUACGUUUUGUCUUUAAUAAAUAAUCGACUCAUGUAAUGAUUGAGAAUCAAAUGGCUACAGUAGGUUUCUUAAAAGAACGGUAACUGACAAAGACAUGUUUAUAACAUUGUAAGGCUGAAAUAUUCAGGUUUCAGUGGGGGUUUAUUGACCGCACUGUUCAACCAAUCCAAUAAAUGUGGAGGAAGAGUUAAGAUGGAAUGUCACCUUGUUUAACGUCCAAAAGCACAAGUCACUUCCCAGGCUCUUUCCAUUUCACCUGAAACCCGAACAUCCGGCGGAGGCUACUAUGAAGCUAUUCUAAGAUUUUAACGUCAGAAUGACAUUGCCAAUGUUGAAUAGAGGGGGUAUACCAGCUUUCCAAUGGUGUUAGAUUUAUUCCUCAACUUCCAAUAAUAAAUACAUUUCAGAUGUGCUAUCCCCAAAAUAAUCAUUUGGUUGUGUUUAUGAAGGUCUUUGCUAACAUUAGACUGAGUUUUAUUUUUUAUUUUUUAAGAACACAGUAGCAUUUUCAUUCAUUUUACUGUAGGCUAUCUGUAAAAAUGGGGGAGGGGGAACCACAAAGCACCACAAUUGUGUUCAGUCAUCACACAGAAAUCCAUUAUAAGUACGUUUUGGAAGGUCUUAUACAACCCGGUGCAGUCCAAAUGGUGUUUUUCCUGUGUUUCGUAUCAUUGUACAACAGUUGAUGAAACAAACACUGUAAAAGUGUGAACAAAAUUGAUAAGUGUUGUUUUCUGAUAGUUCCUGCUUGAAAAUACAAUAUACACAGGACCUUCAAAUCAGCCUGUUUGCAUGAGUGGGAGUUUCUGCUUGCCUGGUGGGAAAUUGGUUAAUAAACCAAUAACAAAGAGAGUUCCAAACCUCUGUUAGUAACAGCAAGUUUUUCCCUCCCCACUUAGACCACUCCCAGACAGUCUUAACAAAAAAUCUUGCUUGAGAAAGUUUUUUGCAAAAAAUAUUGUUGUUCAUUUGAAUGGAAAACUGUUACAGUAAGGCUCUUGUUAUCCAGAAAUGAUUUGAUGUUGAUAUAAACAUGGCUGAAUUGGAACUUUUUAAGAAAAAAAGUGACAAAGAAAAUGUAUUUCAAAAGAACAGAGUAAAAUAUUUUCAGUUUUAUUUUAUUACUAGAAGUUGUUGCUUAGUAGCCUCGGCUAUGCUACCUCCAGUACUCUGUGUGGAGUGCAUGGAACAGCGUUUUUGGUUGGGAAAAGUUAUAUUUUGAAAUAGAGCUCAUCUUGGUUAUUUGGCAAAUAAAGGUCUUUCUGAUAGAUAAAAAAUGACCUGCAAGAACCUGUAGGAUGAUUAGAAAAUGCUGAUUUUUGGUUAAGCUAAGUUAAUUACAAACGCUUCAAUGUUUCUCUGUCUCUUCUCGGGCCCAAGCACAUUGGCACACAUGCAGGUGAUUGAUGCGCACAACAUUACAUUUCCAGGAUUUUCAUGACCGUACCUGUGUGCUGACCAACAAUUAGCUAUAACUGGGCAAAUAACUCCCUAACCAGCAAGGAAUAUCAACAAAUGUGCACAUGUGGCUACAGAUAGAUCUGCUCAAAAGCACAUUCUUAUUCAAAUUAUUUUUUUUGAUAUUGUGAUUCUUAUUUUUACAUGUCUUUUUUUAAACACAACAUCUUGUGCUUGUCUGACACUUGUUUUUACUUGCCCCGGACAAUCUGAAAGUCAAGCCUCACUAUUGUCAAUAGGAAUCAUUCGACACAAAGUAGGCAGUUUGUAGUUUGCCUCAGAAUCAGCACAGAAAGGAGUGUUAAGGAUCACCUUGGGCUAGAUCUUCGUGUGUUAAGCCAGUUAUGACCAAUCCUCUUGCUACCACCUAGUGACUCAGUCACACACAACAUCUGCAGGUUUUAGUGCCUCAUUACUGAUGACAUCAUUUCAGUGGAAUAGUCAGCUCAUGAGUGUCAUACUAAGUGGGCUGUCCCAUCCAAGUCCUCCAAGACUACUUUGUUAAAGUUGACUUGUACAUUAGUCACAAAACAUCUGUUAAAACCAUAUAAUAAGCCUUUAAUGGAACCUCUGAACACCAUUUUCCUCUGUUCUCUGUUCUGAUGAUGUUAACAGUAUAAUGAGAGCUUGGUAAUGCGUUUGAAGUUAGCUCCUGUGAGAACUAAAAUCAUAACUGGCCUCAAAAAACCACAGUGAGACUCUGGUGAUCUAAAGUCAAUGGCAAAAAAAUUGUUUAUGUAUUGGUUCAAAAUAAGACCUCUAUAAUAUUUUGAUGUAAUGUUGUGUCUGGGUAUUGGGAUUGGUAUAAAUGAGUAGAGUGUGUGGGCUCUGAUUGUGUGAUAUGAACAUACAUGUCAUUCGGAACAUACUAGUGAUCAUUUUGUAUUUCACAGUGUAGAAGUUGUUUUCCUAGUAAAAACUUGAACUUGUGCAUCAUGAGUUGAAUACAUUUCCUCAUCGUGGGGUUUUCUGACCUCUUCUCAACAUUUUGGGAGGUCAAUAAUGGGAAAGCAUUUGAUCUUGCUAAAAAAGCAGAAGUAUCAAAUGCACAUGAGUCUGCGAGUGUUGCAGUUCCCACUUGUGCGCCUAACAUUUGGUUGCCCAAUACUGUAUAUAGGAGGAGGGGUUUUGCGUUGUGUUUUUACAGAUGUUGCUCCUUCCUGAGGAUGGUAAAAAGAAAAAGAAAAAAGCUCCUUUGACAGUCAAGUGUUACAUUUGCAUACAACCAUAUGACCAUACAAAAUAAUAUAUACCAUACAUGUAUACAACAAAUAUGAGAUGGUGAGAUUUUAAAAAACAAACAAAACAAAAAAACACUGCAACAGUUCCAGAACCUACUCAUGUGAACCAAGAUGAGGAUCCUUCUCUGUAAUUGUAUUAAGUUCCCUGUGGUGUUUCUCAGAAAAAUACCACUUUGCAUCACAAAAGUUCCUCUUCUGUGAAGUUUUAAACAACCCUGAACGUAUUCAACCCCAGUGUAAAAGUGCUUUUCUUCACUGCUUAUGGGAUCCAUAUGCAACUGCCGGAUACUUGUAUUUUUUGGCAGUGCUCAGUGAAUGACGUGACAGGCGUGGUAAUAACAAUGAGAACACAAUUAAUUCCAGAUCUUUACAGACUUUGCACUCCGAAGUUGGCUAAAGGAAAAUCAAAAAGGGUGCGGUCAUGGUAUUUUAGUUCUGCUGGUUCAAAUAUACAUAUUGUGAAUGAUCAUUGACAUUUUUCGCUUUACUACAAUAAACGAAAGUAAAAUGUUUUAUCGUUCGAAAGUUUCCUGCCUGUCCGGACGGCAGUACUCAGAAUGUGAGUACAGUACAUAGGAAAUGACUCAUAGGAGUUGAACUGUUAGCGUGGGUGUGUACUCUAUUAAAACAAGGCUCAGACUACUCCGGGUGACUCAUUGUGAGGCUAGCUUUUCCAUGGUGAAAAACAAAACGGGCUUUUCAUCAGAUGAACUUUCGGGAAUUUCGUUUAUACAAGAAACAUGGCUUCAAGCAUUAUCUGUGCGCUUUGUGGACUUGUCAUUGCGACUGUAGCGAACCUAAACGGCGCGAACGGGCAACAAAACCUAUGCAGCAGUUCAGAGUUCUGGAGUUCGGACAUAGACCAAUGCGUAUCCUGCUCAUCGUGCAAGCAGUAUCCAAAGACCCCUUCGUGUAACACUUGCACAUUUACCAAGGAAAGAUCUGAUGUCUGGAGACUGGCAGCCAUUUCCAGCUUCUCUGUGCUGGCAGUUAUUCUGGUCGCUGCAGUAUUGAUCAUUGGAGUCAUGGUGCAUCGACGCAAGGCGCAGAAGAGGCCCCUCCGUGAACCCAUUGAAGAGACAACGGGACCUCUUUACCAAGCGUAAACAUUUCACCUCAUCUUCCUUCUGACAUUGAUGUGACAGAACCAAGGGAACAUCUUUGGAUGACCAACCGAAACAGAAUCAUUUUUGUACAAUGGAUUAUACUCUGACCACAGGGUAUUAUUUGAGUGGAGUUUGACCAUUUAAUUUAUUAUACUGUUAGUAAAGAUGUGUUCACACACACUCAGUGUGUUUCGGAACGGAGCUCUCACAUAGAACUGUGUUAACAAGCGCUGUCAAUCCCCUACCUUGUCUGCAGUCAGACUGUACUCUGAGUAAGACAAUGUAGUUAGUCAAGAGUAUCUCUCACAGCUCUUUUUGAAAUGAUGGCCUUCGAGUAGUGAUGCUAGGUUGAGCUUGUCUAGAUAUUCCAAUAUUCUAUCUAUCGAUAAGUUGUUCAAUCAAUAAGUAGUUUAAAAAACAGUAGUGAACAUGAGACACAUCUUGAAUGAUGUGGAUUUCCAACCAUUUCUGUCAAUGCUUAAACACCUAUUGUUUUAUUGUAGCUUAUUAGGACGAAUACCAACUACCGAACUGUCUCGACUUGCCAUCAGCGGGAUAAAAGGGAAUACAGCACAAUCGUGCUUCCUGGGCCAGGUUUCACAUACUGUACUUCUAUAAGAGUAACGUUUCUAUUUAACAUCCUCGUGAUAAUGACAAGUAAAAGGGAAAUGUUAGAUUAUAAAUUCAUGUUGGGCACAUUUUGGCAAUUUGAAUGUACUUUUAGGGCAAUUUAUCCAGUCUGUGUUUCCAUGUAGGAACUAUAUGCACUUAGAGCUACUUAGAGCUACUUGUUUUUUAACUCAUCAUUUUUAAAGGAGUAGAAUUCUUUUAACAGUAUCGUACACUGUACUCUCUAGGAUCUUCCAAUCAAAAGAGGCAAAGGGGAAAAUAAGUGAACUGAUUAUGAAACUGCGUAUUGGACAUUCUUACACAGGUCAUUUAACCAUUAUACUGUAGUAUGUGUGUAUGCAGGAUAAGUAGUAUAACACAGGGGCUUGCAAACUGUCGUGAUGGAAAAGUUCAAGGUGGUCCAGAAUCCUGUGGGAAUGUGUUUAUAUAGUUCAGGGAUGGGCAACUUUGAUGGGGGUGAGGGCCACAAAAAAAAUCUGAACACAAUCAUGAGGGGCCACUGUUGUGCCGCCACACAAUUCUACACAUCUCGCAAUAUGGUGGAGAGAAACGUUUGCAGUUUGAAUGAUAUCUUACUGAGACUGACUAAUAAAAUCAAUGAGCACUAGACUAAUUUACCAAUCUAAAAAAUGUUAGCUGACAUGGACUAAUUGAGGAACAAGAAAAACUGCCGAUGCACAACCAAAUUUCUAAAUGGCACCUUGUGUAUUCUACUAUUCUAACUCGCAACAGUAAGUUGAGACCCUGACUAAGCCCUUCCACCUGUUGCCAAUCCCUGGUAUAGUUUAUACUGUUUUUUUUCUUCUUUUUGCAAUUAAAUCCAUUCCCGAUGGACAAAUAGGGAAACCUUAGCGUUGUGCUCUCCACAGUUGAAACAAUGGAGAUGAGUCAAUGCUUGUGUGACAUUUUUUAACACUAUUAGACACUGACUGCCAACCCAGGAAGGAACAUUGCAAUUUAGGGAAAAACAAACUGAACCCUAUUGAAAUGUAUAACCAUGGUAUAACUGUGUACUCAUCUUCAAACUAACUCAGAGCACAAUUUUAGGGCUUGUGUGUCAGGAUAAUGUGGGUGGCUGAAUAUGACUUAAUUCACAUUACUGACAAUAUUACUUUCUUAUCAAUAUUAAGUGGAUAUGUAUACCAGCAGCAAGAAAAGGGUCAUUGGACAAUUUUUAUACAGAUAUUGUUUUCAUAUCUAUUUAUUUUGAAUGAUAUAUUUUCUAAUGUUUAUAGUUACAUGUGGUAACAGCUAAAUGUAUGAAUAAAUACUGACGAAGGGACACUUGUAAAGUUGUUUGUAAAACCUCUGACACCAGCUGACCAAUUAGAUUUGUUACUGAGCAAUCAUUUGGGGCUCUAUUCAAUCGGUGAAGUGGUACAGAUUGUGCAAUAGCAGUGUAAAGGUAAUUUCACAUUGAGCCGUCAUAUGCAGCAUUUACCAUGAAUGCAGUCUCCGCUAACGCGGAAACAGCCUUUAAAUUUCAACGCUAAACUUCCGUAUUUGGAUUGAAUAUUGCCCUAGUGAAUGUACUUUGUCUGUUUGGGUUAUGUACAUGAGUUAGUGUAGUAAUAAGCAUGGUUACAAAUGAACUGACUUUUGUGUUAUAUAGAAUAAAAUUAUGAAUCCCAUA